UCUGCAACGUGGGCCUGAAUGUGCUCUGCCUUAUCCCUCCAGCCUGCCAACUGCGCUGAGAUGGGGUUUUCUAAGGGAUUCAAAUGACUUGUCCCAAGAUGCAUGAAAACCUAUAGAUAAAAGUCAUAAGAGGACUCUGACUUGAAAUCCCAAAUUAAUAAUUUGAUACCAUUGGAAUUUCCCCUGCCUUGUCUUCUGCCUUACCCACUGCCACUCACUGACAAUGAGUCCCUAUCUUCCCAGGGCUGUGAAACUCAUGUUGUAAAUGUAUGAUGAAAUAUAACACAUUCAGUCAACAAUGCUUAAGAUGACUGCACUCCCCUGAGAACUGCCCAGCCCAUACCUAGGUAGAGGGGUGUGUGGCCUGCUGCGGUGAGAAGGCCAGGGGCUCUGGAGCAGAUCACAGCUGGAAUUCUGGCUCUGUCAUAAUCCUGCCGUGUGACAUUGGGCAAGUUACUGUGCCUCCCAAGCCUUAGUUUCAUGAACUGGAAAAUGAGAAUGAAAAUAAACACUCUCCAGAGUUAUGGUGAGGAUAAAGCGAGCAAAGAAAUCUGACAACAGAUGUGUGCACAUGCUCUGAUUCCAAGCCCAACCACUCUGGAUAAUGACAGCAUUGAGGACCUAAUUGAGGCUUUUUCAUCAGGAACCAGGAAGAACAACGUGUUACAUCAUAGUCUACAUAGUUUUCUUUAUGUCAUAAUUUCAACUGGUGGCAGAAAGAAUGAUGGCAAACCUCUAUCUUCACUAUGUAAAUAAAUAAUUUUAAUGUGGAAAAACUAUGAAAAGCUUCUUUCUCUUCCUCUGAAUAAUAUUGUUAUAUAAUUAUAUGGAACUUUCUUAUUAAAAGUGAUUUUAAACACAUUAUAUUAGUUAAUUCUAGAACCAUAUGAAGAAAAAUUGCCAUAUUCUAUCAAUCCACGGGAUCGGAGACUUCCCUAACGUCACCAAAUUUACAAUGGCAGAGUGGCUUGGAAAAUAAGUUCUCUGGCUCCAUUUCUGGUAUGUGUGCUUGUUUUGUAUACGUAAUAAAUGCUCCUCAUAGUAAGUGAGAAAUAAAAAGACAGCAUUAAGAAGAAAAUAAUGAUGUAUAACUCCCCACCAACUGACAAUUGUUAUAUUCCCUAUUAUCUUUCUGCUCUUAUCCUUACACAUAUAUUACACAGUUGAUAUUGUAUCAUUUAUACCAUCUUGUGUUCUUUUUUCAUUUGUUAUUGUAAGAAAAACAGUUCUUCUUUCCAUUAAGACUUUUUGAAAAUACAGUGUUUAAUGGCUGAAUUAUGUUUCAACAUAUGCCUUUAUGAUAAUUAAAUUGAUCUCUUCUCUAUUCUUAGGCAUACGGAUCAUUAUUACAUUUUUAGUUCUUAUAAAUAAUGCUGCAGAAAUAUCUCUGUACAGAAAGGUUUUUUUUUCUUCUGUAUUUUAGAUUAUUUUCUUAGGAUAGAGUCCUAGUAAUGGAAUUUCAAAAAGAGAAUAAAUGUAUGCAUGUUCUUUUUGCUAUAAGAACUGCUUCCUGUGGCUCUUUGCUUCUUAAAAUUAUCACAUGGUCAGUGAAAAACAAAACAGAACAAAAACCAAACAUAAAGUCAGAGGUUGAAAGUGAAUGAUGGCUUCCAGCUUCCAUCUGGAGUGGGCUAUUCAAGGCUAGCUCAGAGGAGUGGGUGAUGGCCUCAGUAUUUCUUAUCAGACUUAGCUAUUGUGGUAGCAUACUUACAAUGGAUUGUAAUCAAAUUUAAUGCCACUAAUCUUUACAGCAUCCCAGUGCUCUAAGUGGGGAUUGUUACUUCUCAGAAGAAGACACCAAACAGUACAUUGUAUUUACUGUAAUCUGCCCUGGAUCCUUCACAUUUACUCACACAAGUGCUGUGUACUCUGAA